CACGUAGUCGGCUUGUCAAGUCGGGUGUGAAAUCCCCGGGCUCAACCUGGGAACUGCAUCCGAAACUGACUUGCUAGAGUAUGGGAGAGGGAGGCGGAAUUUCUGGUGUAGCAGUGAAAUGCGUAGAUAUCAGAAGGAACAUCAGUGGCGAAGGCGGCCUCCUGGACAAAUACUGACGAUCAGGUGCGAAAGCGUGGGGAGCAAACAGGAUUAGAUACCCUGGUAGUCC
rnacentral:rRNA from 1 species